AACGAACGCUGGCGGCAGGCCUAACACAUGCAAGUCGAACGGGCGUAGCAAUACGUCAGUGGCGCACGGGUGAGUAACGCGUGGGUACCUGUCUGAUGGUAGGGGAUAACCGCGGGAAACUGCGGCUAAUACCCUAUGUGUCCUUCGGGACAAAGAUUUAUCGCCAUCAGGUGGGCCCGCGUAGGAUUAGCUAGUUGGUGAGGUAACGGCUCACCAAGGCGACGAUCCUUAGCUGGUCUGAGAGGACGAUCAGCCACACUGGGACUGAGACACGGCCCAGACUCCUACGGGAGGCAGCAGUGGGGAAUAUUGGACAAUGGGGGCAACCCUGAUCCAGCCAUGCCGCGUGAGUGAUGAAGGCCUUCGGGUUGUAAAGCUCUUUUGGCGGGGACGAUGAUGACGGUACCCGCAGAAUAAGCUCCGGCUAACUUCGUGCCAGCAGCCGCCGUAA
rnacentral:rRNA from 1 species